AACGGCGUCGAGCGGCGGACGGGUGAGUAAUGCCUAGGAAAUUGCCCUGAUGUGGGGGAUAACCAUUGGAAACGAUGGCUAAUACCGCAUGAUGCCUACGGGCCAAAGAGGGGGACCUUCGGGCCUCUCGCGUCAGGAUAUGCCUAGGUGGGAUUAGCUAGUUGGUGAGGUAAGGGCUCACCAAGGCGACGAUCCCUAGCUGGUCUGAGAGGAUGAUCAGCCACACUGGAACUGAGACACGGUCCAGACUCCUACGGGAGGCAGCAGUGGGGAAUAUUGCACAAUGGGCGCAAGCCUGAUGCAGCCAUGCCGCGUGUAUGAAGAAGGCCUUCGGGUUGUAAAGUACUUUCAGUCGUGAGGAAGGCGGCGUCGUUAAUAGCGGCGUUGUUUGACGUUAGCGACAGAAGAAGCACCGGCUAACUCCGUGCCAGCAGCCGCGGUAAUACGGAGGGUGCGAGCGUUAAUCGGAAUUACUGGGCGUAAAGCGCAUGCAGGUGGUUUGUUAAGUCAGAUGUGAAAGCCCGGGGCUCAACCUCGGAAUAGCAUUUGAAACUGGCAGACUAGAGUACUGUAGAGGGGGGUAGAAUUUCAGGUGUAGCG
rnacentral:rRNA from 1 species